rnacentral:hammerhead_ribozyme from 1 species
ACAAGCUGAUGAGUCCCAAAUAGGACGAAACGCGAGUACUGUAU